rnacentral:rRNA from 1 species
AGAGUUUGAUCAUGGCUCAGGACGAACGCUGGCGGCGCGCUUAACACAUGCAAGUCGAGCGAGAACCAGGGCUUCGGCCCUGGGGACAGCGGCGAACGGGUGAGUAACACGUGGGUAAUCUGCCCUCGGCAUCGGGAUAGCCCGGGGAAACCCGGAUUAAUACCGAAUGGCCUCUCGAGCUCUAUGGCUCGUGAGAAAAGGUAGCUUUGGCCUCCGGCCGAGGAGGAGCCCGCGGCGGAUUAGCUUGUUGGUGAGGUAAAAGCUCACCAAGGCGACGAUCCGUAGCUGGUCUGAGAGGACGAUCAGCCACACUGGGACUGAGACACGGCCCAGACUCCUACGGGAGGCAGCAGUGGGGAAUCUUGCCCAAUGGGCGAAAGCCUGAGGCAGCGACGCCGCGUGCGGGAAGAAGGCCUUCGGGUUGUAAACCGCUUUCAGGAGGGACGAAGCCACUCGGGUUAAUAGCCCAGAGGGUGACGGUACCUUCAGAAGAAGCCCCGGCCAACUACGUGCCAGCAGCCGCGGUAAUACGUAGGGGGCGAGCGUUGUCCGGAUUUAUUGGGCGUAAAGAGCGUGUAGGCGGCUAGGUAGGUCCGCUGUGAAAACUCGAGGCUCAACCUCGAGACGUCGGUGGAAACCAUCUGGCUAGAGUCCGGAAGAGGAGAGUGGAAUUCCCGGUGUAGCGGUGAAAUGCGCAGAUAUCGGGAAGAAUAUCCGUGGCGAAGGCGGCUCUCUGGUACGGCACUGACGCUGAGACGCGAAAGCGUGGGGAGCAAACAGGAUUAGAUACCCCAGUAGUCC